GAUGAACGCUAGCGGCGUGCCUAAUACAUGCAAGUCGAGCGAACAGACGAGGAGCUUGCUCCUCUGACGUUAGCGGCGGACGGGUGAGUAACACGUGGAUAACCUACCUAUAAGACUGGGAUAACUUCGGGAAACCGGAGCUAAUACCGGAUAAUAUAUUGAACCGCAUGGUUCAAUAGUGAAAGACGGUUUUGCUGUCACUUAUAGAUGGAUCCGCGCCGCAUUAGCUAGUUGGUAAGGUAACGGCUUACCAAGGCGACGAUGCGUAGCCGACCUGAGAGGAUGAUCGGCCACACUGGAACUGAGACACGGUCCAGACUCCUACGGGAGGCAGCAGUAGGGAAUCUUCCGCAAUGGGCGAAAGCCUGACGGAGCAACGCCGCGUGAGUGAUGAAGGUCUUCGGAUCGUAAAACUCUGUUAUUAGGGAAGAACAAAUGUGUAAGUAACUAUGCACGUCUUGACGGUACCUAACCAGAAAGCCACGGCUAACUACGUG
rnacentral:rRNA from 1 species